GUGCCCACAGACACAGGUGUGUGUGUGUCCACGGCCGUGGUUCCGCUCGUGAUGCGAAGACUCCACGUCGUUUCGGAGUGGAGUCGGGCGGAAACAGAACGACGGUCCGGUCGCGGAUGAUGAUGAUGAAGACGACUACGAUACAUCUGCUGAUGAUCAUCAUGCUGCUGAUGAUGAUCGUCAUCGUCACGAUCGGCAUCAUGACCUGAUGACAAAUGAUAAUGAUGAAUACGAUGAUCAAUACUGAUAAUGUGCUUCGAGUUGACUAUAGAGUGGAGUUUGUGUCAGUGUGUCGUGCGCGUUAGCUUAUCAGACUGGUGUUUGCUGUGGCACGCGCCAUCCCUGAGCAACAACAGUCGAUAAGCUGGCACGCGCGGGGCCCCAUCGGACACGUGGCCACGCUCCGGAGCUCAGCCCCGGGCAGCUCCGGCUGAAAUAGCGGUUGGCAUUUAUUGAAUGAAUUAAAAACACAAAUCGAAGCCCCUCGUUGAAAAAUGACGGUGUUAGUUGCAGACGUCUGAGAUUGUAAUUCGUAAACUAUGACCCCCAUCUCAAGAUGAUUGUACACACAUUGAAACAAUACGUUAAGGUAGUGUGAAGUGGGCCCUCAUCCAGCAGUGCAUUGACAAAAGGGCUGUACGUGUACAGCGUUGCUUUAUUACUGUGGAUAUUACUUACACACACGCACACACGCACCCGCACGCGCGCGCAUUAUCUCGUCCCUCUGUCUAUGCGACCCGUUCAGCAAGCCGUCCCAUGCCCUCUGCCCUCCUCCGUCUUCGCAUUGUUACCACCACUAACAACAACUAAGUGGCGGCGACGUCACCACGGCGCUUGUGCCAGGCUAGGUACACCUUUUGUAACUACGGUGAACGCAAGCGCAUCUCGGUUACGUGUACGCAGAUAAUGUUGUGAUUAAAUACAUCGCACGCGUCAAGAGUA